GAUGAACGCUGGCGGCGUGCCUAAUACAUGCAAGUCGAGCGAACAGACGAGGAGCUUGCUCCUCUGACGUUAGCGGCGGACGGGUGAUUAACACGUGGAUAACCUACCUAUAAGACUGGGAUAACUUCGGGAAACCGGAGCUAAUACCGGAUAAUAUAUUGAACCGCAUGGUUCAAUAGUGAAAGACGGUUUUGCUGUCCCUUAUAGAUGGAUCCGCGCCGCAUUAGCUAGUUGGUAAGGUAACGGCUUACCAAGGCGACGAUGCGUAGCCGACCUGAGAGGGUGAUCGGCCACACUGGAACUGAGACACGGUCCAGACUCCUACGGGAGGCAGCAGUAGGGAAUCUUCCGCAAUGGGCGAAAGCCUGACGGAGCAACGCCGCGUGAGUGAUGAAGGUCUUCGGAUCGUAAAACUCUGUUAUUAGGGAAGAACAAAUGUGUAAGUAACUAUGCACGUCUUGACGGUACCUAAUCAGAAAGCCACGGCUAACUACGUG
rnacentral:rRNA from 1 species